CCUCAGGAAGUGCCAUGUCACAUAAAUGCCCCUCUCUGAUGCAUGGGCGGGGCCGGAAAAUGACCACACCAGGUGAAGUGGCCUUCGAUCUGUCAGAGACAAUCUGGGGUGGCGUGAGACAGACGUGGAAGGGAGCCGGCCUCUGGGCUCCGGGGUGAGCAGGAAAGGAAAUGGAGGAGGAAGAGAGGCAAGGGGGCUCCCGGGGCCCCUGCAGAGGGCACUGGAUACCCACUGAGAAGUCAUGGGAGUAAGUUGGCCCCGUCUCUCGGACCCUCGCUGUGUCUGGACCAGCCUUCCACAUGUGGUCUGAACCUGUCUGCACCUCUGGCCAGCGUGGGGGCAAAGCCCCAUCUCCUUAUGGUCCCUGGACUGCAUGAUGUUGGCCCCAGAGUGGAAGCUCCUCUGAGCUCCUUAUACAAACCACGCACAAGCAACACGCCCUUUGCUUUGAAAGGCCCAGAAUGGGCAAGCGACCCGCCCGAGGUCCCACGUUGAGCACGGGGCCUUGUAUCUGUCUUGAACCUACAUGCACGGGUCUCCGCUUCUGCCCGGCUCCCUCCGAACCACAUCCAGCUGCAUUCUCUUCUGAAUCAGGCUCUGGCCGAGACAGGGAAUGCAGUGGCCACCUUCCGCUAUUUCCACCAGAAACCCAUGGAGGAAGGUAUCUGUGUGUAAGAACAAUUCAUCCUUCUUGGGCAUUAUCCCAAAUACUGCACAUCUGUACAUAUGUAAGCCCUGGAAGGGCUGAGGCACAGAAAAGACUUAUUCUUUGAACAGGAUUGACCCUCCUUUGAAAGGGGGCCAGCUGAGACUGUGAAUGGGCCUAACAGUGACCCUACGGUGGUGGUAAAUACUAAACAAACAUAUGCCCUUCCUUCCUCUUUCUCUAUCUCCCCACCCUACUCCCCAUUAGGCUGAAAGUGGAUAGCCGUGACCAGCAGUGGCAGAUCCGGGGCCUCAUGGGAAUUAGCUCGAUUUUCCUGAAUUAUUGAGAAAGAGGUGCCCUUUGCAGGGGUUCCUACACAGCCUGGAGUUGCUGUGGGACCGUUUUUUCUACCUCAUGGGAAAUCCUAAGAAUGAAGCCAACAUAAACAAAAAGACAGUUUCUGGGUGAUCUCAUUUGAGUUCCUGCAACCUACCACACUUAGAUUCAGCUCUUGAGUUUUCUUUCCAAUCAUAUAAGCCCAGAAAUCCCCCUUUUCUUUUUUAAGCUAGUUUGAUUUGAGCUUCUGUCAUGUAAAAUUGGAUGAAUCUUGACUAAAGACUGUUGAAUCUUGAAUUUCAACUACAAAUGGGGUAUAUUAUAAAGCAAGGGGGGAUAGCAUGGAAUUCACUGCAGGAAGUAUAACCAGAAAUCACAGGAAUGGAAAGGUUCCUCUGACUCCAUUUCUCUCUCUCUCUCAGGCCAACACAUACAAUCUCCCAUUUCUGCUUUUUCUCUGCAUAUCUGCUUCUUGUUUUUUAGUUCUGCUGAGCUGUGUUUUUGCUGGCUCAUCCAGGUAAAGGUCCCAGGGCUAAUGUUCAUUGGCCCAGAUUUGGAUCAUGUGACCACCCUGAACCAUUCAUUGUGAUUGGUCAAACAGUGAGCCGUUACCUCUGGAUCUGGGGAUUAGGAUCAGGCCCACCUAAACCAAACAAACUAAGAGGAUGAAGAAUGGUUUAAAAAAAAUCAAAGUAUUGUUUCCAGACC